rnacentral:lncRNA from 1 species
AAACAAAAAUGCGUAAAAAAAUUACCAGUUCGAUCGUUCGAUUUAGAGAAGAUGAAGAAGGAGAAAUAUUAACUGCUGCUCAUUUGCAUGUAGAGAUGAUACAGAUGGUAAGAACACACGAAACUUGCCCUGAAAUAUUCGCUCUCAAAUUUUCCCUCUUCUGAAUGAAAAAAAACAACGCUUGGGAACAUAAGCAUUGAAGAAAAGGUAAAAGUGUCUUUUUUCUAUUAGUAGUGGCUAUUUUUGCUGAGCAUUAUCAUUAGUGGAUAAAAUUUAAAGACACUCUUAAUUAAUGGCGACUACACGCAUGUUUACGCUGUAUAAGGCUCCUUUUUGUCUCACAAAUUGUGACGACCCAAAGGGUCGCCACCUGUUAUUAAUCGAAUUCUAUGUCUUUGUUAGGGUUACUUGUCCUAAACUUUUAAACUUGUAUUUGUGAUUUUUACUUAGAGCAUUUGUAUCAUUAAACUGCAAUACUAUAUUUCAAAUGGAAAACUAAAAUAUUGGUCCGAAAAUGUUUUUAUAUU